rnacentral:rRNA from 1 species
UACGGAGGGGGCGAGCGUUAUUCGGAAUUAUUGGGCGUAAAGGGCGCGUAGGCGGCCCGGUAAGUCAAAGGUGAAAUCCCUCGGCUCAACUGAGGAACUGCCUUUGAAACUGUCGGGCUUGAGGCCGGGAGGGGGUAGCGGAAUUCCCAGUGUAGCGGUGAAAUGCGUAGAUAUUGGGAGGAACACCGGUGGCGAAGGCGGCUACCUGGACCGGUUCUGACGCUGAUGCGCGAAAGCGUGGGUAGCAAAAGGG